rnacentral:tmRNA from 1 species
GGGGGCGUACUGGUUUCGACGGGGGAAUUUGGAGCAAAGGUAGCGAGCCGGGGUCCCACCCGCCCGGAAUACGGUGGAAAACAAAUAAACGCCAAGAACGAAUACGCUCUGGCUGCUUAAUUAAGCAGCCCACCCGCCCGGCCUCGCCUGCGGGCCGGUAACGGGUGUCAUCCAGCAGGCUCACCCGUUAGAUCCUGGUCUCCGGGGAUGUAACGGGAAAUACACGGGGAUAGCCUGAUGAGAGCCUGCCGGCGGGCGCUCCGAUGGUGAAGCGAAAACACCGGCUGUGCUCGGAGAAGCCUUUGUAGCCGUUCUUUCGGACAGGGGUUCGACUCCCCUCGCCUCCACCA